UGCAUGUCUCUGCUGGUCACACAGUCUCCGUCUCUCUGCAGCUCCUCCGUUGUGUUGUCUGUAUCUGCUUAAUUAUUAUGGGCAUCACGAUCGGCUCCUCAUGGGCCAGUCAGGGAGUUCGUGGGAAGGUAUUAAUCGGUUACUUGGCAACAGCACAUAUGAGGCAGCAUUUCCUCCACAUGAGGGAAGUUAUAAAAGCAGACAUCCAAUUAAAACCCAUGGAGCUCAAAACCACAGACACCUUCUGUACGAAAGAUGGGCGCGCUGGGGGAUCUGGUACAAAUACCAGCCUCUAGACCUC